AACGAACGCUGGCGGCAUGCCUAACACAUGCAAGUCGAACGAGACCUUCGGGUCUAGUGGCGCACGGGUGCGUAACGCGUGGGAACCUGCCCUUAGGUUCGGCAUAACUCCCCGAAAGGGGUGCUAAUACCGGAUAAUGUCUUCGGACCAAUGAUUUAUCGCCUUUGGAUGGGCCCGCGUUGGAUUAGCUAGUUGGUAGGGUAAAAGCCUACCAAGGCGACGAUCCAUAGCUGGUCUGAGAGGAUGAUCAGCCACACUGGGACUGAGACACGGCCCAGACUCCUACGGGAGGCAGCAGUGGGGAAUAUUGGACAAUGGGCGAAAGCAUGAUCCAGCAAUGCCGCGUGAGUGAUGAAGGCCGUAGGGUUGUAAAGCUCUUUUACCCGGGAUGAUAAUGACAGUACCGGGAGAAUAAGCUCCGGCUAACUCCGUG
rnacentral:rRNA from 1 species